rnacentral:misc_RNA from 1 species
AAGUCGUAACAAGGUUUCCGUAGGUGAACCUGCGGAAGGAUCAUUAUCGAAUGAAUUUGAACAGGCUGUUUGCUGGCUUCUUUCCAGAGGCAUUGUGCACGCUUGUCAUCUCUCAUGUUUUCCAACUGUGCACACAUUGUAGAUCUGGGUGGUGAUUUGGUUUAUUGAAAAUAGAUUGAGGAUUUGCCAUGGGUCUGGCUUUCCUUGUUCCCCAGGUCUAUGUUUAUAUUUUUUUCACAAUCUCUGAAAUGGUAUUAGAAUGUUGGGCAACAAUUGAAGUUUUAUACAACUUUCAGCAACGGAUCUCUUGGCUCUC